CAAUAAUAUAUAUAUUUUUAAAAAUCAGUCCAAGUCAGUCAGAAUGGUUCAUGAAACAAAGAUACUUUCUGCGUUCCUUCUCUAAUUCUCUAACACUUCAAAAUAGCCUUUUUUUUUUUUUUUUUUCUAAGUUAGGAGGUUUCAUUCAUUCCUUACUUAAAAGACACAGUCACAGACCAAGAUCUGGCCCCAGAAGGGGGCUGUUCCCCGCCUGCCCACGUGCCCCCAGUCCCGCAGCAAAAAGCCUGUGAUCUAUUUUGUCUUGUUUUCAGAUCUAGGAAAAAUACGUACGGCCCAAUCCAUUCUGGUAUCGAACGAAGCCAGCAGGAUUAAAGAGUGGUGAGGAGCACUUAUAAAGGUCCCUGUGAGAAACUAAGGAGGGAAAGUUACGGGGAAUCGGACUGCGGGGUGGCAAGAGGGUUUAUCUGGGAAAUCCAGCAUCCCUGCUGCAGGGGACACGACAGAGCUGGGCUGUGUCCUUCCAACCCUAAUUAACAUCUCUUCUUAAUGAGCGAGACCUGCCAGCUUCUCAGGACAAUGAGAGAACCCUCCAUGUGCACUUUUUCUUCCCAUUUUAUGUGGUUUGAUUGCACCCAAACAUCCAUUAUUUAAGCUAAUUACUGGAAUGGCUUUACACUACGAUCUGCCUGCCAAGCCAGUGGAAAAGAUGAUAUAUUUAGUACAAAUAUAACCUGCCUCCACGACAGAGCUCACAACUGAUGCUCACGGCCGCAAAAGUAAGCUUAUAACCCUACAAAAGGCCAGACUCGAAGCAUAGAAAAAUGCUUUGAAGACAACAAUUUAGUACCAAAGGGAUCUUUUUCAUCAUUAUUGCAUAAUCCAACAUUAUUUUAAAAUCGUUUACGUGCCAGUACAAUGCAUGCCAACUGCUUAGCUGCAAUAAAUGUUUUCCAGCAAGCAUACGGGAUUUUGGAAAGGACAUGCUGACAAUUUUAGGUACAGCAAUGCAAAUUGACCAAUUACCACCAGAGCCACUGGAAAUUUUCUAUUUAGAACCACUCUUAACCUGCAAGGAAAAAACAUUUGCUAAUGCAAAUCUGAGAGGAAAAAAUUAAGUCCUGGACAGCAAAAUGCUCUGGACUCCUGCCUUUUUCAGGGCUCCAGAACUGAAUUACGAAAACCAGACAGCUCAGAAAGCUUUAGCUCUACAUGUAUACAGUCAUUUCUCCAUCACCCAGGAUAACGAGGGGAGGAGAGGGCAGAAAAGCCUCAAAUACUAGCAACACUGAGACUUGGCAGGCUUUGGUGGACAGUAACACUGAUCAUGAAGCCUCUGCCUGUCACAGCACCGAGACAGGGUCGAAAAUCUCUGCCAGGCCCGAGCAGGCUCCUGCAUUUGUGCACGUGCCUCCCAGACUCUGCAAAUGACUUGUUUUACCCAAGAAGUUCAAACAAAAUAGUUAUUUCUAUUUUUAUGACGUACAAAAGAGGCUCCACAAAGCCAUGACAAGGAGUGUGACCACCAGAACAAACCCAGGGGGUCAGUGGGCGAAUCACACCGGCAAGUGGAGGUAGCUCGAGGGUGAGUGACGGCGAGCGCCUCGUCCUCCUCCUGCGCUGCUGGGGCUGCACCCAGCCCCUCCCGGGCCGAUAAACCCCACAGAAAUCCCAGCUGGGAACGUAGGGAAACCUGGAAAUUCACUGAAAGGAACCCGGCCUUCAUCGUUGAGGAUGAUGGGUUUGCCCUCUCACCCGAGGACACGCGUCAGGCCUCACCAGCUUCACGGGCACGAGUUCAGCCCCUUCUAACCGUAGGAGUGCUUGAAGCAUCAGGGGCCACAACACGUUUUUCAGUGGAUGGACCGUUUCAUGGUCCAUGACGGUGAAGGCACCAUCAUCGCUGGUAGACACAUUACAAGCUUCUGGGCAGGGGAGGAAUGAGGUAGAGGCCAACCUCCUGCAAGGACCAAGCACAGGCUGGGUCCUGCAGUGAAGGGGGACCCCCGCAUCCUUCCCUUACAUCUUUGGGGUGCAAAGGACCAACAGAGACCACAGGGAAUAGUGACACAGUGACAGAAAUGCCACCAUGUUGUUCCACUCCUAAGGUAGAGAGCCUGAGGAAAGGAAGAGAGCUCCAAAUGGCCAGAGCCACGGCUGCGGUAUUGAAAAUACAAAUGACUCAGCUCUAAGUGAAAGUUUCUAUUUUUGUCUUUUGGCUCCAGUGAUUUGGUUCCAAUCCUACAGCUUGAAUCAUUCAGAAAUAUGCUUUUGCAUGCAAGGCCAGCUAUGCCACUCUUGCUUUCCAAAAUUUAAAUUGGAAAAUAUACAUUAAGCAUGCAGAAGUACGACCACGCUUUUGGGUUUUCUUCGUGUCCAUUUCCAGGUAUGGCUGGAAAGAGAGGAUUAUUAAAUCAUGAAAGGUGUCUCUAGCGAGGCCAUUCCUGUCCAACUGAAUCAAAUAUUAUACCCGUGAAACCAAACCAGGCUUGGAUUUCCAUUUGAAAUUUCAUAAAAUAGAAUUUCACGGCUAACUCUGGUUUAUUUUGAAACUUUCCUGUUUCCCUAAUGUUCAAGCUUUCAUCAGAAUGGAAAAAUUCCCAUGCAUCAUUGUUUUCUUUCUUUCAGACUGAUCGUUUACUCAAUAUUCUUCUAAAAAGUAAGUCGGCACUUACGCACACUGGGGAAGCACCAAGUCACAGUCAGCCCCCGUAUGCUUCGUUCUCCUUAGACGUACAUUUAAAGCCAGCUUAAGGGAGAAGCAAGUGCUUUGAGCCCCAUUGUAUGACAGGGCUCCUGGGCAGAUGCUGUAACCUGCACAGUCGCCAGCGUCCUUCCUCCUUUUCCCAGGGAAGCACUGCAGGUCUCUUACAGAACCUGGAUACAUGAAGAUUUUGGGAAGACUGGCCAGAAAGGAGGAAAAAAAGGGGAAGAAACAUGAAAAAGAUACGUAAAAAUACCUUGCGUGACUCCAGUUUAUCAUGUUCAAGGAAGGCUAUGACAAUCUGGAGAGCUGAAGAAGAUGAAUUAAGAAAUGGACAGUCUAAUUACAUGAUUAGAGACGAAAAGAGCUUGGUUUGUUGAGCGUGGAAAAAUGAAGGCUGGACAGGGAUGUGAGCACUGUCUAUAAAUACAUCCAGAGGGAUACACCAGGGAAGAAGAGCUAUUUAUGUACAGGGUACAAACACAUUUCAGCUGCCAAUUAGAAGAAAGUUUAAAGUGUUAGAGGAAUGAGGCUUUGGAACACUCCUCUAGAAAAAGCAGAAAGAACAGACAAGUCAACUCAUUUAAAAGAUGCUUUGAAUAAGGUUUAGGAGGGUGACAGCAGGACACUGACCUACACAUCCUUCCAGUCCUACAGCUUGCAUUCCUACUUUACACCUGCGCUGAAGUUAAAUCAGCUAUCGGGCACCAACAGUCAAUACCAACUUUCUUCAAAGUAGUCUUUGUUAAGAGAGGGUGUCCUUUAUCAACCCCAAGAGGUUUGGCCACAGCAGAGUCAAAGGAAGGAUGGAGCUGGGAAGGACACCAGAGAAAAGAUAUGAAUGUGAUACUCUGGAAAAGAAAAGAAAAAAGUUGGGAAAGCAAGGCUCUGCUCCAGCUUCUACUGAACUUGCUGUGAGCGCUUCCACCAGCAUCCAUGCAACAGAAGCAGGUCCUUAGAGGUUUCCAGGAGAAAAUAUCAAGUAGGGAAGAUUACUUUAGCAGCUGUGUCUGGAACAGAACAGAAAGUUUUGUUGAAAAGGCCUCUGCUGUUGGCCAACGCAGUGCUGGUCCUGAAUCAGGCUGCGUGACGAUGUGCUGCCAAAAAUGUAACGGGCUACCAAAAAAACCCCACCACCUUCCGUAUCUGGUGACAAAACCUACAAGUGGCAAAAGUGUCUGUAUUUGGGAGGGGAAACAUUUCCCUUUCAUCUUCCUGAUGUCUGAGAAUGUAAACAUUAAUUUCAGUGGACGAAAGACAAGGAUUUUGUCUGGGAGGAUGCUGUGUUCAACUGAAGGUGCGUGCUGUGAACCCACUGCAGCUUGCAGCAUUUUCAGGUGGUUGCUCCACGGUAAAAAGGGCAAAACGAGGCAAGGCAUGUUUCCUUCCUACCAACAUAUGAUGAACACAGAUCCAGUGCAUGUGAAAACCUUGCCCAAUCCAUCCAAAAACACUUUAACAGCUUUUAUUCAUACCCUGUCAUUGUGUGAAAAGUCCUAGGUGCAACACAUUGGAGAGCUGUGACCGUGAUUACAAGCCAACUUAAGGAGCUAGACAUUUUUGUUUUCCAAGCUACAUCUGAGAUCUGAAAAGGGAUCCUGUCCAUUAGUGUUAAAAAAAAUAUGUUCCUGUUUGAUGCAAAAAUAAAAGCUUUUUCAAAGGCUCUUUGAUGUGCAAGACAGAAAGACAUGCAGGCAGAUGCUGAAGGAGGUCUUGUCUUAAGCAAUUACCAGCACUGCUUUUGAAUCUUACUCCCUAGACAGAAUUUUAAUGUGAAAUAGAUAAUCACACUGCAGAGCGUAUCAGCUCUAAACCUUGUGGCUUUUCAAUUAAGCAGCAAUAACCUGUAGUCAAAAUACUCCCUGCCCCACAAGGGAAUAAAACAAACAACCCUGAACCAACUAAAUCCAGGUGAAGCAAUUCCGAAGAUACACACGCUUUUAAAAGGUCUCGUUCUGAGCUCUCCUUGGGUAGCCAGGCCAGUUUUCCAAGCGAUAUUCUGAUCAUUAAAACAAGCAAUGAUGUAAUUUCCACAGCAACCACAAACAUACCAAGAAUAUUUGAGCUAAAUUUAUCCAGACUUCUUGUUUGAAUCACUGCUUCGGUUCGUUAUUUUUCCACGACUUUCAGCGGCGCGCAGAAAAGAAGCUGUGGGCAGCCUGGGACAGGGCUCUCUCUGCAGCAGUGUCUGAAAUGCCAACCUUUGUGCCUGCAAGCCACUUAGCGACUAUUAGAAGGGAAUUUUGGUCGCUCUCCAGCUCCCAUCUCCCCAGGUCCCUGCUCUUUCACCCUUCGCCCUCCUCCUCCCUUCCUGUAGCAGACUGACCCCUUCCCUCUCCUCCACACGGUGAGGCAACGCAAGGCUUGUCUUUGUGGCUGAGAAGUUCCCAAACUCACCACAGACCUGCUGUCCAUCCCUCCAGGAGACGGUGAGCUGCAGAAGGAGGAACUCACACCAGAGCUGGUGCUGCUCUGCGGCAGACCCCCAGCCCUGAGGUCCUGAGCCCCACGUCCCACCACCAGCGCCAGGAGAGCUCAGCCUGGGGAAGGGGUCACCACCUUCACCGGCAGGUACACGCAUCCCUGCUAAAAGUGCAUCACCAACAAGACGUCACGGGUCUUCACCCUCUCUUCCAACACGGCCAAGGUGGCUGAUUGCCAUGGUGAGAGGCACUGGGUGUCUGCAAAACCUGCAGCAUAACCUCUAAGAUCUUACUCCAUCGACACUGCUGUUGUUCUAUAGGAAUCUUUUCUUUUCAGCUAUCACAUUUUACCACGGUUGGACAUGUCCUUGCUGACUCCAUUUCAGUUUCAUGAUCAGCCUCACAGUUUGCCUGCCUGUCACCUAGCUGUACAUGGUUUAAGGGCAGUCUGUUAUUUCUCAAAGCACUCCUUUCUGUUUGUUUUGUUUGCUUGUUUACCAGAAACUUCAACCCACGCAUCCCCUCUGACUGCAGGAGGGCUUUCUGAAGGUUGAAGGCUUUUCCUAAUACCUACAGACUUCUUUUGUAAGGCCUCCCUUUAAGCUAAAGCAAUGCACAAAUUCAAAGCAUGCACACACUGUCAUCAUGAAGCUACCAGUAGCCUAGAUAAACGGGCUGCUGCUGCGGUUACGUAUAUGCAAAGAAGCAAUGCUGACCCACUAAUGAACACAGACUGAUUAGGGAAAGGAAUUAAAUAUCGGCCUAACUUGAUGUAAAAUCCAAGACAGAACCUAUUAAGGGCCAUAAUUCACCUAUGGGGCAGACUGAGAGCUGAAUGGCAUUAAAUCCAUCCCCCGACACCCUCAUCUACAAUGCAAACAUUUCCUCUCAGUUAGCUGCCUGCUGCCAAGCGCAGCCCUGGCAGCUCCUUUAUUGAUCAGAGAAAUGAAAAACAAACAAACCGCAGACCUGAUGCUCUAAGGAUCCCUGAAGAUCGGAUCCAGAGCCUGUUAUGCCAGUGCAGAGACUUUAAUGGGUCUUACAUAAGGCUCCCAAAGGCUUUGGAGAGGAUGAAAAAAAAUAAAUUCGUAGCACUUUCUUUAAUGCAAGUAUAAAAUUGCCUGUAACAUCACCGGCAAAACAGUAAAUCAAUUACAGGCCUGGUAAAGACCGAGUCAGUGUGAACUCUAUCAAUAGCUUUUUCCCCACUGCAACGGAGGAUAACAGUUCUGCCUAUGACCAGUGCCAACCUCACCUGCUUUAUAAUCAGUAAGGUAGUUAAGGGGUCCCUGUGUGCAGGUUCUCGGUGCCAAGGCUUUUCUUUAGUUCCCUUAUCAGCUCAUCCUUGUUUUUUCCAGGCGUCUUGACGGAGCUGUCUUAAGUUACAUUUCAGUGUACCAAUACAUCUUAACUGGAAGGUGGAAAAUAAAGCUGGAUAAAAAGGUGGAAAAUAAAGCUGUGUAGCAACAGAUAAUGCCAUACAGAGCUCAGAUAGGGACUGGUGUUCCACUACUGCCUGCACAUCACUGCCUUUCAGGCUGGACUCUCUGCCCAGCGGGGUCUGUACUGCACCGCUGGCUCUCCCUGCAGCUCUGCCCUCGAGUUCAAGAGCAGACUGGCUUCUGCGGCAUCUACUAGGAAAAGCUGAUCCUGCCACCACUAAGACCUAACUGCUCCUUUACAUCCCGUGACUCCAGAGGGGCACAGCACCCCCAAGCCAAACUCCCUACUGGCACAAGCACCCAUUUUCCAAAGCAAACAGUUCCUUCAGACGCCUCCGAUUCACAAUGAGAGGCAUCUCCCAGGGCAUGUUCCGAAGAAGAGCACUUAGCAUCCAGACUCUGAAAAAUCAGUUCAGAGCAUCUCAAACGAGGCACCUAACUGCACAUGUCCCCGCGUUCACUGCCCUUUUGGGAAACCCUGCCUGGGCUCAGCGGGAUGGCGCAACACGGCUGGGCUGCAGUCUGCAGAGGAGAGCAGGCUCAACCACAGGCAUGUUCUGCUGGCCUUCCGCAUUAGCAGUUGGCCCCAUGUGAGAUUUCACCACUUCUGUAUGAAGUGUGUAUUUAAAUAUGUUUAAAAAUACAAGCCUAUUACUGCUUUACCAGUGUACUUCCUAUUCCUGCCUAGCACUUCCUACUUCUCCUUCUGCAGGGCAUUGCUGAGACUAACUCACAUACGAUACCUGUUCUAUUUUUUGUGUCCUCCCACACUGCCUUUUUUUUUUUUUUUUGCUUGUAGGAAUACUUUCAAUUCACUUUUUAGACUCAAAUUAACUUGCAGCUUAACAAGUAGGAAGAAAAACAGAAAACCUACAAGGCUCGUUGCACAGAACUUCAAGCAAGCAGCACGCUUUGCAGGCCUCAAGUGUGCUCAGGUCGCUCCCCAGAUGCUCUCCUGGCCCUCCACCCUGCCACACCAUCGUAGCAGACUCAGGCGACGCUACUACCUACACUGUGAGGAUGGGAAAAAACAGGGCAGAGAGUGCAAGUACCUUUUUCCUUCUCACACAGUGCAACAUGCCUCAGAUGGGGCUAAGGUGAUGUGCCCUGAGACACAGCUGCUGGCUGUAGCCCCACGCACAGAGCUGUAAUGCGAAGCUUCACACGGGACUUUCACAAGGAACAAAGUGAUACCAGGGGUGCUGCACACACCAAUUUUGGCUUCUUCCUCUAUUCAGCUGGAAAAAUUUAUAAGCAAAGAUAUUCACGCCACCAAACGCAAGCUCCUGUCCUUCACGUGUAAGGCACCAAAACCAGCCGGGCGAACAGCGAAGGAACGACAGCAGAGAUCUCAUCUGGAGGCCACGCACAGGGUGGGCCCUGGCUACUUGUAGGGCUAACCCCCUGUGAGCUAACCUCAGGCUAUCGCCACUCGAUCGCUUGUGAAACUUUCCGUACAGAAUUGCACCAGCUCCUGCGCGGUGCCUCUGAUAAAACGACCCGUUAGCUCCUCCGGCUCAGCUCCUCGGACUUGGGCUGGAGACUUGCCUGUGAUUCAGGAGGUGGCAGCAGCUCUCCCUCUGAGUCAGUGCUGAGCCACGGCCGAGGCAGGAUUGCAAAGGUCGCUGCCAUCGUGGGUCGCCUCUCCCGGAUAAAAUAUGAAGCCCCGGGAGCUGCAGGGCCACCACGGCCCCUCUGACACAUAGCUGGUCUGCCCCAAAUUCCAGCACGGGUCAAUAUAUUCUGUCUACUUGCCUGCUCUCUCAUUUUAACAUCCGUGUCCCUUUUCCAGGCAUACUGCAUGGGCAAACUUCCCUCAAAAAAAAGUUGUGAAUGCCACAAAAUUUCAAGCACCUCUCACCGGCAUCGUUGCUCCUCAUUAUGUAAAAUUAUAUACAUUACAAUGCAGCACAACUUUUCAAUAUUCAUCUCUAGAUUUAGCAGGAGAGAAGAGACACCCUCUGGUGCGUUGGGAAGAUAAUCCAAUUCCAGCUCAGAGACACACACAAAGGGCACACGAACACUCUGGGACUUUGAAUAAAAUUCUCAGUAAGAGAGAUAAGCUCUCUAACAAAACUAUUCUUACAUUUCAGAGGACGAUGAUUGCUUUUCUACAUCUUUGCUGAAAUGUCUCCUAGAAACUCAUCUGAGAAUUAAAUGCUAGCUGUAAAAUUUUGUAAGGUUCAAAGAAAACAAACAGCCUGUAGAAAGGAGAUGAAUCUCUGUUAUGUUCUAGACAUUCAUGUGGUGAUAUCUUUGGGCUUCCAUUGUAUUUCCUACAAGAACCACAUUAUGUCACCUCCAUUAUAUUAUGCAGAGCUCUUUAACCCAGUUGAAAAAAAAAAAAGCACACUGCUUCAUGAGAUACUGCAGCCGCCCCCAUACCUCUGCUCGCUUUCUUUCUUUUAAUUAGGAUAACAUGAACCAAUCUAGGAGAGGGGAAGCCAGGUCUGAAGAGGCGAGGGAGGUGCUGACUGCACCCGAAGGGGAGCAUCAUUCUGCACUCCAGUGACAAACCCUCCCUGCUCUGCUGGCAGCGGCCAGCCAAGCCCCGCGGCAUCCCCAGAGGCUGCGCAGGGUCCAGUGGUGAAACACGGCUCGCCCGCUUUCGGGGGAAGCGGGCAUCCUGCUGGGACACUGGCGAGAUUCCUGCCACAGUCAAGUGAAGCAGCAGCGGAGACACGAGCAGAUGCAGUGAGAAAAGAUUGGUUUCUGGAGGUGAAGCAGCUGAAGCCCCCGUCUCUCAGUCACGUUAUCUGGAUGGCUUCGACGUCGCUGCCAACCCGCUGCUGUGCCACGCAGUUCCCGGAGCGCAGGUAUCAAGCUGGAAGUGACUCCUGUAGCUUCGUGUUGGAGGCUUGGCCUUACCGAUAUAGAGACGUUAAAGGGGACUUACCAGAGUCCAACGUUUGCCUGUUUCAGAGCCCUGCUCAGGGCUUUGACUGAGACAGUUUCACAAAGUUGAACAUAUUUAAUGAGGCAACAGAUAUAACAGUUUCAGAAUUGCCACUGAUAAAUACAGUAGCGCUAAUAUACAAUAAUAAUGCAAUAAA